rnacentral:rRNA from 1 species
GACGAACGCUGGCGGCGUGCUUAACACAUGCAAGUCGAACGAUGAACCGGAGCUUGCUCUGGGGAUUAGUGGCGAACGGGUGAGUAACACGUGGGCAACCUGCCCCAGACACCGGGAUAACCAUUCGAAAGGAUGGCUAAUACCGGAUACGACCACUUCGGGCAUCCGAUGGUGGUGGAAAGGAUUCUGGUCUGGGAUGGGCCCGCGGCCUAUCAGCUUGUUGGUGGGGUAAUGGCCUACCAAGGCGACGACGGGUAGCCGGCCUGAGGGGGCGACCGGCCACACUGGGACUGAGACACGGCCCAGACUCCUACGGGAGGCAGCAGUGGGGAAUAUUGCGCAAUGGGCGAAAGCCUGACGCAGCGACGCCGCGUGAGGGACGAAGGUCUUCGGAUUGUAAACCUCUUUCAGCAGGGAUGAAGCGAAAGUGACAGUACCUGCAGAAGAAGCACCGGCUAACUACGUGCCAGCAGCCGCAGUAACAC